GACGAACGCUGGCGGCGUGCCUAAUACAUGCAAGUAGAACGCUGAAGGAGGAGCUUGCUUCUCUGGAUGAGUUGCGUACGGGUGAGUAACGCGUAGGUAACCUGCCUGGUAGUGGGGGAUAACUAUUGGAAACGAUAGCUAAUACCGCAUAAUAGCAGUUGUUGCAUGAUAACUGUUUGAAAGGUGCAAUUGCACCGCUACCAGAUGGACCUGCGUUGUAUUAGCUAGUUGGUGGGGUAACGGCUCACCAAGGCGACGAUACAUAGCCGACCUGAGAGGGUGAUCGGCCACACUGGGACUGAGACACGGCCCAGACUCCUACGGGAGGCAGCAGUAGGGAAUCUUCGGCAAUGGACGGAAGUCUGACCGAGCAACGCCGCGUGAGUGAAGAAGGUUUUCGGAUCGUAAAGCUCUGUUGUAAGAGAAGAACGAGUGUGAGAGUGGAAAGUUCACACUGUGACGGUAUCUUACCAGAAAGGGACGGCUAACUACGUG
rnacentral:rRNA from 1 species